UGCCCCAUGGCUGAGUUGGUUACAGCGUCCGACUGUUAUGUCUAGUCGCUAGUCAUACGAUUAUCGGAAGGUCGUGAGUUCGAGCCUCACUGGGGCAG